rnacentral:lncRNA from 1 species
CAAUCUCCCUUCGUAUCUCUGGUUGGGCUCCAUUCCUUUUCCCUCUCUAUCUUCUCCCUUCACUGUGAAGAUCUCUGUUCCUCUGCUGGAAAUCUCUUGCACCGGUUGGGCCUUCAUUGCUCUUCGGCACUGAUCAAGCCCACUGUUCUCUUCCAGGCUAACCUGGCUUUCCUCCCUUCCCUUAUCUUUCGUAUGAGUUAUUAUCCGACUUCAUCGGUCACCGACAAGAUUUGAUCAACGGCGCUCUUCUUUCUGACGUGAUGGUCGAUGAUAUUUUUCCUUUAACGCUCUUCUUCCUUCAAGAUGUAAUGGCGCUCUUCUUUCUGACGUGAUGGUCGAUGAUAUUUUUCCUUUAACGCUCUUCUUCCUUCAAGAUGUAAUGGUAGCCGAUAUUCUCUUUCAACGAUCGAUAUUAUUCCAUUUUGACGGUGAUUUAUUAAUUUUUUUUAAAAUUUAAAUUUUAAAAAUUUUAAAUAUUAUUGGUCAAAAAAUUUGAAAUUUGAAUUUUGAUGUUGUUGGAUGGAUGGAG